rnacentral:lncRNA from 1 species
UCACACUUCAGGCUCCAUGAGUUAUGCGAGGCGUAGAGCUGAAUUCAUAAGCUUUCUUGAAAUAAUUUAAAUUUAUCUUAAAUUAUUCUAUCAUAUAGCAUGUAUACUCUUGAAAUAUACUUUUUGUUGUAGAUGGAUGAUAAUGGGAGGGAGCCUGGUAAGGUGGAGUUUUAUAAGAUGACUCACACCCACCGAGAUGGCAGCUUUGUCCGAGAGGAGUCAAGAGAUAUAGUUG